rnacentral:rRNA from 1 species
UACGAAGGGGGCUAGCGUUGCUCGGAAUCACUGGGCGUAAAGCGCACGUAGGCGGCUUUUUAAGUCAGGGGUGAAAUCCUGGAGCUCAACUCCAGAACUGCCUUUGAUACUGGGAAGCUUGAGUCCGGAAGAGGUGAGUGGACCUCCGAGUGUAGAGGUGAAAUUCGUAGAUAUUCGGAAGAACACCAGUGGCGAAGGCGGCUCACUGGUCCGGUACUGACGCUGAGGUGCGAAAGCGUGGGGAGCAAACCGG